UGCAGGGUUGUUCUAACAAGUCCGAUACAGUCAUGAUAUAACAAUAUUGUUACGACAUUGUGUCGUCACCCUUGUAACAUUCUUGUUAUAUCAUGACUGUAUCAGACUUGUUAGAACCUUGCA
rnacentral:miRNA from 1 species